rnacentral:rRNA from 1 species
AGAACGAACGCUGGCGGCAGGCCUAAUACAUGCAAGUCGAACGCACUCUUCGGAGUGAGUGGCAGACGGGUGAGUAACGCGUGGGAACCUUCCCAAUGGUACGGAAUAACUCCGGGAAACCGGUGCUAAUACCGUAUAAGCCCCUCGGGGGAAAGAUUUAUCGCCAUUGGAUGGGCCCGCGUCGGAUCAGCUAGUUGGUAAGGUAAUGGCUUACCAAGGCUACGAUCCGUAGCUGGUCUGAGAGGAUGAUCAGCCACACUGGGACUGAGACACGGCCCAGACUCCUACGGGAGGCAGCAGUAGGGAAUCUUGGACAAUGGGGCAACCCUGAUCCAGCCAUGCCGCGUGAGCGAUGAAGGCCCUAGGGUUGUAAAGCUCUUUCACCCGUGAAGAUAAUGACGGUAGCGGGAGAAGAAGCCCGGCUAACUCCGUGCCAGCAGCCGC